rnacentral:rRNA from 1 species
GAUGGCGACCGGCGCACGGGUGAGUAACACGUAUCCAACCUGCCGAUGACUCGGGGAUAGCCUUUCGAAAGAAAGAUUAAUACCCGAUGGCAUAGUUCUUCCGCAUGGUGGAACUAUUAAAGAAAUUUCGGUCAUCGAUGGGGAUGCGUUCCAUUAGGUUGUUGGCGGGGUAACGGCCCACCAAGCCUUCGAUGGAUAGGGGUUCUGAGAGGAAGGUCCCCCACAUUGGAACUGAGACACGGUCCAAACUCCUACGGGAGGCAGCAUG